rnacentral:hammerhead_ribozyme from 1 species
AUCUAACUGAUGAGUCCCAAAAUAGGACGAAACGCGCAUCCUGUAU